rnacentral:rRNA from 1 species
GGUCGUAAAGCUCUGUCAAGUGGGAAGAAACCACGAAGCGUUAAUAUCGCUUUGUGCUGACGGUACCACUGAAGGAAGCACCGGCUAACUCCGUGCCAGCAGCCGCGGUAAUACGGGGGGUGCAAGCGUUAUUCGGAAUCAUUGGGCGUAAAGGGCGCGUAGGCGGUUUGUUAAGUCAGAUGUGAAAGCCCGGGGCUCAACCCCGGAAGUGCAUUUGAUACUGACAAGCUUGAACAUAGUAGAGGCAAGGGGAAUUCCCAGUGUAACGGUGAAAUGUAUAGAUAUUGGGAGGAACACCAGUGGCGUAAGCGCCUUGCUGGGCUAGCGCUGACGCUGAGGAACGAAAGCCAGGGGAGCGAAUGGGAUUAGAUACCCCAGUAGUCCUGGCCGUAAACGAUGGAUACUAGGUGUGGUGGGUAUCGACCCCCACCGUGCCGAAGUUAACGCGUUAAGUAUCCCGCCUGGGGAGUACGCACGCAAGUGUGAAACUCAAAGGAAUUGACGGGGGCCCGCACAAGCGGUGGAACAUGUGGUUUAAUUCGAUGCAACGCGAAGAACCUUACCAGGGCUUGACAUCUGAGGAACUUCUGGGAAACUAGAAGGUGCCUGCUUCGGUAGGAACCUCAAGACAGGUGGUGCAUGGCUGUCGUCAGCUCGUGUCGUGAGAUGUUGGGUUAAGUCCCGCAACGAGCGCAACCCU